GCCUCGGGGAGCUGUAAGCAAGCUUUGAUCCGGGGAUGUCCGAAUGGGGAAACCCGGCUGUCUUCAUCGACAGUCACUACUCACUGAAUUCAUAGGUGAGUGAGAGGCAGACCAGGGGAACUGAAACAUCUAAGUACCCUGAGGAAGAGAAAACAAUAGUGAUUCCGUCAGUAGCGGCGAGCGAACGCGGAUUAGCCCAAACCAAGGAGCUUGCUCCUUGGGGUUGUGGGACGUCUCACAUGGAGUUACAAAGGAACCGGUUAGAUGAAGAGGUCUGGAAAGGCCCGCCAGAGAAGGUAAAAGCCCUGUAGUUCAAAACUUGUUCCCUCCGAGACGGAUCCCGAGUAGUGCGGGGCACGUGAAACCCCGUAUGAAUCCGGCAGGACCAUCUGCCAAGGCUAAAUACUCCCUGGCGACCGAUAGUGAAGCAGUACCGUGAGGGAAAGGUGAAAAGCACCCCGGAAGGGGAGUGAAAUAGAUCCUGAAACCGUGUGCUUACAAGAAGUCAGAGCCC
rnacentral:rRNA from 1 species